rnacentral:rRNA from 1 species
AGAACGAACGCUGGCGGCAUGCCUAACACAUGCAAGUCGAACGAGACCUUCGGGUCUAGUGGCGCACGGGUGCGUAACGCGUGGGAACCUGCCCUUAGGUUCGGAAUAACUCACCGAAAGGUGUGCUAAUACCGGAUAAUGUCUUCGGACCAAAGAUUUAUCGCCUUUGGAUGGGCCCGCGUUGGAUUAGCUAGUUGGUGGGGUAAAGGCCUACCAAGGCGACGAUCCAUAGCUGGUCUUAGAGGAUGAUCAGCCACACUGGGACUGAGACACGGCCCAGACUCCUACGGGAGGCAGCAGUGGGGAAUAUUGGACAAUGGGCGAAAGCCUGAUCCAGCAAUGCCGCGUGAGUGAUGAAGGCCUUAGGGUUGUAAAGCUCUUUUACCAGGGAUGAUAAUGACAGUACCUGGAGAAUAAGCUCCGGCUAACUCCGUGCCAGCAGCCGC